rnacentral:rRNA from 1 species
AGUGGCAGACGGGUGCGUAACGCGUGGGAACCUGCCCUUUAGUAAGGAAUAACUUUAGGAAACUGAAGCUAAUACCUUAUAAUCCCUUCGGGGGAAAGCUUUAUGCGCUAAUGGAUGGGCCCGCGUUAGAUUAGCUUGUUGGUGAGGUAAAGGCUCACCAAGGCUACGAUCUAUAGCUGGUCUGAGAGGAUGAUCAGCCACACUGGGACUGAGACACGGCCCAGACUCCUACGGGAGGCAGCAGUGGGGAAUAUUGGACAAUGGGGGCAACCCUGAUCCAGCGAUGCCGCGUGAGUGAUGAAGGCCCUAGGGUUGUAAAACUCUUUCGCCAGGGAAGAUAAUGACGGUACCUGGUAAAGAAGAUCCGGCUAACUCCGUGCCAGCAGCCGCGGUAAUACGGAGGGAUCUAGCGUUACUCGGAAUAACUGGGCGUAAAGCGAGCGUAGGCGGAUUUGUAAGUUGGAGGUGAAAUCCCAGGGCUUAACCCUGGAACUGCCUUCAAAACUACAUUUCUUGAGUUUGGUAGAGGAGAGUGGAAUUCCUAGUGUAGAGGUGAAAUUCGUAGAUAUUAGGAGGAACACCAGUGGCGAAGGCGACUCUCUGGGCCAAUACUGACGCUGAGGUUCGAAAGCGUGGGUAGCGAACAGGAUUAGAUACCCUGGUAGUCCACGCAGUA